ACUCCUACGGGAGGCAGCAGUGGGGAAUAUUGCACAAUGGGGGAAACCCUGAUGCAGCCAUGCCGCGUGUGUGAAGAAGGCCUUCGGGUUGUAAAGCACUUUCAGUAGGGAGGAAGGUAGUGUAGUUAACACCUGCACUAUUUGACGUUACCUACAGAAGAAGCACCGGCUAACUCCGUGCCAGCAGCCGCGGUAAUACGGAGGGUGCGAGCGUUAAUCGGAAUUACUGGGCGUAAAGCGCAUGCAGGCGGCCUGUUAAGUCAGAUGUGAAAGCCCGGGGCUUAACCUCGGAAUUGCAUUUGAAACUGGCAGGCUAGAGUCUUGUAGAGGGGGGUAGAAUUUCAGGUGUAGCGGUGAAAUGCGUAGAGAUCUGAAGGAAUACCAGUGGCGAAGGCGGCCCCCUGGACAAAGACUGACGCUCAGAUGCGAAAGCGUGGGGGAGCAAACAGGAUUAGAUACCCUGGUAGCACAGAG
rnacentral:rRNA from 1 species